ensembl:snoRNA
GAUCAAUGAUGAAACAGCCAAGUCUGAGCAUCAGAAGACCUUUUUGUCCACCUGAGGCAUAAUCUCUGUAGUUGUGAGA